UUUAAUGAGAACUCCGGAUUGGCCUCCUUUGCGCCGCCUCGUGUAGUGCAUUGCGUGGCCGAGAAGUUGUUCAAAUUUGAUCAUUUAGAGGAAGUAAAAGUCGUAACAAGGUUUCCGUAGGUGAACCUGCGGAAGGAUCAUUACUGUACCUUAUGUGUGAAUACACUGUGAACUUGCGCGAGUCGGAACGGUGUGUGUGUUUGCGGCCAGUUCGCGCACACACACAAGUUUACCUUUUCAAACGUACCUAUUGUAGCCAUAAGAACGUGCGAAAGUAUUAAAAAGAGAAAACUGCUGACGGCGGAUCUCUUGGUUCGUGUAUCGAUGAAGAACGUAGCCAGUUGCGAAAAGUAAUGUGAAUUGCAGAAUGAAGUGAAUCAUCGAAUCUUUGAACGCAAAUUGCACUCUUUGGAAUUCCAUUGAGUAUGUCUGUCUGAGUGUCUUGACAAACCUUACACUUUCGGUGUGAACUCGGGCUCCUGGUCUGUCUCCGGACUGACUCGCGCCUGCAAGACCCUACUCGGCAACGCUUGAGACAACAACGUUUGAUCUUAGACAAGCUCCGUCCGAGUCCAACCCAUUCAAUCAUGGACCUCAGAUCAGGCAAGACUACCCGCUGAAUUUAAGCAUAUUAAUAAGCGGAGGAAAAGAAACUAACUA
rnacentral:rRNA from 1 species